GAUGAAGAACGUAGCGAAAUGCGAUAAGUAAUGUGAAUUGCAGAAUUCAGUGAAUCAUCGAAUCUUUGAACGCACCUUGCACCCUUUGGCAUUCCGAAGGGUAUGCUCGUUUGAGUGUCAUUGUACUCUCACACUUCCAAUCUUUGGAUUGGGAGCAGUGGACUUGGGUGUUGCUGCUUACUGUGGCUCACCUCAAAUCGAUUCGUGCACCUCUUGGUUGGACAUAGUACGGCGUGAUAAGUGUCUUCGCCGGCUCCUCAGUAGAGGGUGGCUGAUCAGGAGCUCUGUGCUUCAAACCGUCCUCGGACAACAACUGACAACUUGACCUCAAAUCGAGUAGGACUACCCGCUGAACUUAAGCAUAUCAAUAAGCGGAGGA
rnacentral:misc_RNA from 1 species